rnacentral:rRNA from 1 species
GUUAAAAAGCUCGUAGUUGGAUCUCGGCGGGCAGGGGGUGGUUCGCUCUUCAGCGCUACUGCCCCGCUUUGCCCGUGUGAUUGGCGGAGGUUUCGGGGUGCUCUUCGUUGAGUGACUCGGAGCGCCGUCAGGUUUACUUUGAAAAAAUUAGAGUGCUCAAAGCAGGCUUUUCACGCUUGAAUAUUCGUGCAUGGAAUAAUGGAAUAGGAACUCGUUUCUAUUUUGUUGGUUUUCGGAAAUCGAGUUAAUGAUUAACAGGGACAAUUGGGGGCAUUAGUAUUCAGACGACAGAGGUGAAAUUCUUGGACCGUCUGAAGACUGACUACUGCGAAAGCAUUUGCCAAGAGUGUUUUCAUUAAUCAAGAACGAAAGUUAGAGGUUCGAAGGCGAUCAGAUACCGCCCUAGUUCUAACCAUAAACGAUGCCAGCUAGCGAUCUGU